GAUGAACGCUGGCGGCGUGCUUAACACAUGCAAGUCGAGCGAGAAAUUUACAUAUGAUUCUUCGGAAGAUUAUAUAAAUGGAAAGCGGCGGACGGGUGAGUAACGCGUGGGUAACCUGCCCUAUGCAGGGGGAUAACACAUUGAAAAGUGUGCUAAUACCGCAUAAGACCACAAAAUCGCAUGAUUUAGUGGUAAAAACUCCGGUAGCAUAGGAUGGACCCGCGUCUGAUUAGCUAGUAGGUAAGGUAACGGCUUACCUAGGCAACGAUCAGUAGCCGACCUGAGAGGGUGAACGGCCACAUUGGGACUGAGACACGGCCCAAACUCCUACGGGAGGCAGCAGUGGGGAAUAUUGCACAAUGGGCGAAGCCUGAUGCAGCAACGCCGCGUGAGCGAAGAAGGUCUUUCGGAUCGUAAAGCUCUGUCCUAGGGAAG
rnacentral:rRNA from 1 species